rnacentral:tRNA from 1 species
AGGGCUGUGGCUCAGUGGUAGAGCACUCGCCUAGCAUGCAGGAGGCACUGGGUUCAAUCCUCAGCACCACAU